AACCUAGCACACCUGCGGUGUGUACCUGCGGAAGGAUCAUUACUGAGUGAGGGCCUUCGGGCUCGACCUCCAACCCUUUGUGAACACAACUUGUUGCUUCGGGGGCGACCCUGCCGUUUCGACGGCGAGCGCCCCCGGAGGCCUUCAAACACUGCAUCUUUGCGUCGGAGUUUAAGUAAAUUAAACAAAACUUUCAACAACGGAUCU
rnacentral:misc_RNA from 1 species